UUUUUUUUUUGUAAUUUGGUAAACUAAGAAUUUAUAUUUUAUUGUCGUAGAUAUAUUUUGUUUAGUUUGUUAUUGUGAUAUCCCGUCCCGAAAAAUAUCGAAACGUACAUGUGAAAUGACCAUUUUGCCCCUAGUUAGUUUGUUUGUGUUAUUGGUUAUUUGUGUGCCUUGUUGGCAUGCUUGGGGAUCACACACACACCCUCACUGUCCCUAUCCCUCUCUCAGUCUUUUCCCCUGUCUCUCUCUCUCCCGUGCUCCCUUUCCCCUUCCUUUUCACCAUAUAUGUACGGACUACACCCAAAACUCCUCAAAACCUGGUAGAUCGAAGAAACCAAGGACACUUUCAAACUCGUGAGGCUGUGAGGAGCACAGACGUACCAUUUUCAGCUCUUAGAUGUCUUUGUGAAGUUCCUAGGAGCUUGGGAGUACAUCGUUGGACGAGAUUGGACGUAGGAAUAGCCUGGUUCGAGUUGGCCGGUUGUGGAGUUUUUGGACAGGUUUUCCAGUUUCCGGCGCCGUGAUCGGGGAAGGAGACAGAAUAUUCCGUCAAUUCUGACGGAAUAUUCCUGACGCCGUUAACGGAAUCUGUCAACUUUGACGGAAUAUUCCUAACGGCGUCAGUUGACGCCGUCCGUGUGCGCCACACGUGCCUGCGGGUGGCCGGAGCGUGUGGCCGUGCCUUGGCCGGCGCGUGCGGCGGUGAAAAAUUUUUCUAAAAAUUCUGGUGUGUU